GGGGGGGGCGGGGGGGGGGGCUAGCGCAGGCAGGGCGAACGGCAGCACAGUAAGAGCUUGCUCGUACGGGUGGCGAGUGGCGGACGGGUGAGGAAUACAUCGGAAUCUACUUUUUCGUGGGGGAUAACGUAGGGAAACUUACGCUAAUACCGCAUACGACCUACGGGUGAAAGCAGGGGAUCUUCGGACCUUGCGCGAUUGAAUGAGCCGAUGUCGGAUUAGCUAGUUGGCGGGGUAAAGGCCCACCAAGGCGACGAUCCGUAGCUGGUCUGAGAGGAUGAUCAGCCACACUGGAACUGAGACACGGUCCAGACUCCUACGGGAGGCAGCAGUGGGGAAUAUUGGACAAUGGGCGCAAGCCUGAUCCAGCCAUACCGCGUGGGUGAAGAAGGCCUUCGGGUUGUAAAGCCCUUUUGUUGGGAAAGAAAAGCAGCAGGUUAAUACCCCGCUGUUCUGACGGUACCCAAAGAAUAAGCACCGGCUAACUUCGU
rnacentral:rRNA from 1 species